UGGCGACAUGAGUUUGGUCAUCUUAGUCCAUGAGAUACGUAUGAGGAAAUUCCUCUGGCCUGUUUUGGCCAUCUGUUGGAGUCACUGAAGGACUUUAGCUUUAAAUCAUGUGUAGUAUGAAGAGAUUCAUCAAGAUGCCCACACAAAAGUGACGAUAGCAAACCGAGAGACUGAUGCUCAGUGAGUCGUUGACCUCAGGAUUAGGAGACCUGCAGAAAUCGACUGUUGGCUUCUUCCCGCUGACUUUGUAUUGCAAAGACCUUUGACUGAUUUUCUUGUUUCCCGUGUUUAACUGGAAGUCAUGAUAAAUAAUUCAGAAAAAGUACAAGUUACAAAUUGAUCAACAAAACAAAAACAAGUCAAGGUAGGUUAAAUUGACCAUGAUAAAGUGCACAGAACAAAUUACAAUUAACAAUUAGUCUGAAAGAGGAUUUCUUUGUUAGGAGGUUAUCUUAUCACAUAUUUCAAAUACAUGUUUUGUAAUGAUCAAAAAUAGGAUUCAUUUGCAGUCGAAUGAAUAGUUAAGGAUCAUAUUUUUUCGAAAUCGCAUCAUGGUUUAGUUUUCAGCCGUUACUGAAAGAGAGAAAUGAUGAACAAAAUACAACAAAAACACUACUUGAGCAAAUAUUUUAUGGCUAGAGAUGAACAUAAAUAAUAUUAAUUAAGCUUAUGACAGGGUGAGCUUUAAUCAAUAACUUAAGGUCUCCAUAAAGUUUAGAGGCAGAAGUUUCUCAGCAUAAUGUUGAGGCAUAAUGUCUAAGGCAAACAUACCCCAAGUUUGGAAGAAUAAGGACAGUUCAGGAGGGAUAGUAAAAGGAAAACUUUGUUAUGUCCUCAAAAAGCUGCCUUGACAUAAGAAUCAAAACUACUUUGAUCUAGAACUUGUAUGUGUCACGUUUUUUUUAACCCGUUAUUCCUACAGUUCAGUGGUUUACUCAGCUGACGCAGUCUAAACACAGAUGUUGUCUGACCUGAAUCCCAUUCUUUGGACAAGGGAAAGUAUUUAUUAGUUUAACCACUGGACUGUCAGAACUCAUGGUUCUGACAGUCCAGUGGUCUGCUCAGCUGACAGAGAAUCUAAACACAGAUGUUGUCUGACCUGAACGCUGUUCUGUGAAUAAGGGAAAGCAUUCAUUAGGUUUUAUGGCUCCAGUCAUUAAAUGGUUUCCCAUUUUUGAAAGCAUCAGAAUCAAACUGGACAGUAGGGUUAGGGUACCCCUAACCCUACCCCCAUAUCCUUGAGUGAUGCUGAGCACAUCGAGGCAUCGGAGAGAAACAAGUCAAAGGUUGGCAGGAACAAAAGCUAGACCACAAAACAUCUAGAGUACAAAUAUACAAACAAAACCGUACUGAACUGGUUGUGUUCAGUAUGGUUGAUUCACUGAUUGGAUGAGGAGAACAUCUUCAUUGGUUCAUUUCUGGGUCUUUUACUCGCUUCUGAGUUUAAGAGCUCAGCUGCGCUCCCUGAGGUUGCAGCUUCCUGGAGAGAAAAAUGUCACCCAGCCUGAUGAGCCAAUCACAGAUGGACUUUAGUAAGAAUAUGGCUGUAUGUGUGCAUUAGACUACCAAUAAAAAACAGAAUCAAUGAAUCUUGCCCUCCUUUGCA